GAUAAGGAUAGGUCAUCUAAUGGUAAGAUACCACCCCAUCGAUGGGUGGGACGACAGUUCGACUCUGUCCCCUUAUCU
rnacentral:tRNA from 1 species